rnacentral:rRNA from 1 species
CCUACGGGUGGCAGCAGUAGGGAAUAUUGCUCAAUGGGCGCAAGCCUGAAGCAGCAACGCCGCGUGGAGGAUGAAGGUUUUCGGGUUGUAAACUCCUUUUGUUAGGGAAGAAAAGUGCGGUAUCCAUCCAGUUUCCAAUGGCUAACACCGUGACAGCAGCCGCGGUAAUACGGCGGGUGCAAGCGUUACUCGGAAUCACUGGGCGUAAAGGGUACGUAGGCGGGAUGGUAAGUCAGAUGUGAAAUCCUUGGGCUUAACCAGAGAACUGCAGUUGAAACUGGAAGUCUAGAGUAUGGUAGAGGUAGGUGGAAUUCGUGGUGUAGCGGUAAAAUGCGUAGAGAUCAAGAGGAAUACUGAUUGCGAAGGCGGCCUGCUAGACCAUGACUGACGCUGAUGCGCGAAAGCGUGGGGAGCAAACAGGAUUAGAUACCCCUGUAGUC